GGGCUCCAGUGUUAUUGGUAUGAGGGAAUGAUGAAGAGCAGCAUGCAGAGUAUGUAGAGCUCAGCUAUGAGAGACAGAACCUGUCCAUGUUAUCAUCUGAUAGUUUCAGCAAUAAACACAACUCUACUGAAGCUCAGUGAUUCGUGUGAAAGCGAUAAAACAGCUCUGAGACAAACUGCUGAGUUCAGGCUGGAAAAACACAUCUACUCCUCUGUUUCCUGGCUGCAGGGGAGAGCAGUGAUUGGCUGCUGAGGUCUGGAAGUUAUUUCCAGGUUGCAGUGAAUCUGUUGGUAUUUCCUGGACUCAGACACACGAGCUGCACAGUUGUUGAGACAAAAAGGCCGACAAAAGUCUGUAGACCCCACCAGCUGUGUGAUGUGAACUGUCUCUGCUGCUCAGUCUGAGGACAGCUGGACGGAGGGGACACCAAACGGCGCUGGG